rnacentral:lncRNA from 1 species
UCUCAGUGAAGAUUGAUUUAUUAGUACAGGAGGCAUCUAAUACAACAGUUAGGGAAGGAUGAAUUAAGUUUUUUUAAAGUUUUAAAAAUGCCGUUAAAGUUGACAACGAACUUGAGUAGGAAUUGUACAAUACCAAAGUCAGUUCUUUCAAACCAAAGGGUAUAUACUGUUUUAUCCUAAGAUGUCUGAGAUGCCAGGAUUUUGUAACAACUUUAGAAAUAACAUCCAUUGUGUGUGUGGGGGUGGGGGGGGGGUGUAUUUCUUUUCCUUCCAAGGUUUUAAAUGAACCUUAUUCUUUGGUUUUGCCUAUACAAUGAAACUACAAAUUACCAAAACCAGGUCAGGAUAUUUUCUUUUGUUAAGCUAAAUAUUUGCAUAAGUAUAACAAUCUGGAUAAAAGACUUAACAUGUUUUUAUUAUCUGGUUGCCUGGUUAGGACACAGGCAAUAUCCUCAUAGAAAGUAGCAUCUUCUACAACUACAUAGGAUACUUGUUGUCUUGUCAUUUAAUCAGCAGUGGUUGUAUUUCUUUAGAGAUGUCAACUGCUGCUUCAGAGGGCCAAGGAAAAAGUAUCAACUCUCAAACAACAGGAUCUCCACAUUUCUUUCAGUGGUUUUUGUAUGCUCAGAUAUAAAUUUAUAUGCCAAUAUCUCUAACAGCAGAAACAUCCAAACUUUUUAAAAAGAUUCAGAGUCUAGCAAUGCCGUUUUAAACUCUGCCUAACAGCUUAGGUAGGGUUCAGCAGUCAGGCAUGCCAAGCGCAUAGUCCCAGGGAAGGGCACACACGUGACACAAUCCCUCUGAAAUUAAACUGCCAAAAGGCAAAAAGUGCCCUUUUUAAUAACAAAGAAUGCAGUCCUUAGAAUCCUUGAGAUCCGGAAUUCCAUCAGUGAUCUAGUGCUUUCUUCCUGAUGCACGAGUAGUAUGAGCAAUAUAAAACAACCAAGCACAAACCUCAUCCAAAAGCGGCCCUUUGACUUUAUAAGGUUCAACACCAAAUUCUAAAUAGACUGGAGACCAGGGAAGGAGAUGAGGGGCAAGCCCUGGGGUGGGAGGUGGACAGAAUCGCACAGGUUUUAUAGAAACCCUCCAUGAAUUUUUAACCUCGCACUCAUUUUGACCCUUUUCGUUGAGUUAUCCCCCCUAGCUGACAGCUAGGAACUGUGACAUUUCAGAUCCCCAUAAAUAUUUGACUUUGACUUCAUAAAAAGUCCCUUGGGUCUAUAAUACUUUUAUUCUUGUAUAAUCUGAAACAAAUCCUUUUCCUUUUAAAAAUCAAACAGAGCACGUUUACACACAGUUCACUAUUUACAAAGCACCCAAUUAAAUCCCACUUAAUUCUCCCACUCUUAAAAAUUCCAUCUAACUGGUAUGUAAAAUACCCAUUACAUUAAAUGUGUGAUGUUCAUAAACCCUGGAGUUCUCAGCUCACCUAGAAUAUAUGAUUUUUCCCGGAAGGGAAGAAGGGUCCUUAGUCAAUCCUAUAGCGUUAAGAAAUCACAUCAGAAGUCACAGUACAAGACAGAUAAAUCUACUUUUAAUUUUCACAUGUAAAAGUUACACAUCACAUGGAAUUGGACAGUAGCUUAGUGGUGACUGACAUCGCUAUAGUGAAAAUCAUUUUUUUAUAGAAAAAUAAUCUAGAUGUGGUCAUCAGAAUUUUUGGUCUACUUAAGUUAAUAUUUGAAGAUCGACUUUUAUCCCUGCUUGAAGGAUUUUCCAGUAUGUUUUUUUUUUCUUUUUUUUUUCUCCUACUGAUGCCUAUUAAUAUUCUUUGGAGGGAAGAGGGCAGAAAAUGUCCGUUUCCAAGAGUUUGUCCUUUGGUAGCAAGCAGAGAACAUUUUUCAUUUCUAUGAUUUAAAUAAUCUGUACAGAUAUGAAACUUCAUGACAUUAUGCUUUAGUGUAAAAUGAAGGGCGAGCAUUUUCACUUUGAAAAGACAGCAGUUCUGUAGACUUCUUAAAGGUCCAAGCAUUUCUCCAUCCUAUAUGCGAAUUCACUCAGAAUCUAUUUUUGACCUCAGUUCAAAAAGAAUAAUAAUAAUAAAAACCCCACACACUUAAUUCUUUAUAUAUUACACUAUAAAACCCUGUACUUAAAACCCGAGAAGGUAGGUUUUUACCAUGUACACGUCAAAUACAAAGGUUUCCAUCUAGGUUAAAGAAAGCACAUUUGAAAGGACUCGUAACUGGUUUAUUUUGUGAUUGAACACCUCAUGCAAUCAUGCAAGACCAGUACCAGAGAGCUGUUACCUCUGAGCCUCAGAAACUGGAUACUGGGCAAAACAAAACAAAAAAACCAAAUCAACAGCCUGGCCAAACAGAAAACAUCCAGAUAGCAAAAGCUCUGCAAGGGAGCUGAAAAAUAAUUUUCCAAAAGAAAUAUUCCCAUCGAUUUUAAAAAAACAGACACAUAAUAUUUACAAAAAAUAUUUAAUUAAAAAUAUCUUAUAAUUACAGUAGUCUAUUAAAGCGCAUAUACUUUCUCACACUUAUAGAACAUCUCUAUAUAUACAGGGUAUGAAAUGUCACUCACUUAUCUAUACAAUAUGUAACAUUCUUGCAGAGAAAAAGUUCCCCGCCCUGUUAUAAUCAUCUAUUUUAAACAAUAGAUGUAAAACAACAUAUCUACAGUGCUCUGGUAUAUUAGUAAAGCUUCAAAAACAAAAACAGUUCCCUUGUCACAAUGUAGCCUCUAAGGUUGGAUUCACGAUUGCUCUUCUACUUAGCAGUCUGGUCGACAACACUUAAGCUUCGAAGUUUAACUGCACCUUCAAAAGGGUGAUAAAAAUAACCACAGAAACGUACAAUUCACAGCGGUCAUAAAAGAAGAAACGAAAGAGAAUACGUACGGUGAAUGCUCGUGAACGUGCAAAAAAAGUAAAAGUGAAUUUAAGUUUUAUUUUUCCCCUUCUCUCUCUCUCUCUCUCUCUCUCUUGGAAUGACAAGACGAGACGACGUUUCUAGAUUUGCUGAAGAUUUCCCCCCCUUUCCUCCGGUGGCUUGUUUCUCUUAAUUUCUGCUCUGGCCCUCCCUUCCUAGGGCUCCUGGCUCGCUGGUGCUCAGGCGGCCGCACACCUGUGGAAGAGGAAUGAAUAGAGGGGGUGUGUGAACCUUCUCGCUGCAGACUAACUGGCGCCACCGACCAAACUCAAGACAUGCAUGAUCAACAACCCAAAACAAACCGCCGGGUCAGGCAACACCCGCAGCCCGAAGCUCAGCCAAGUGCCCAGGAGGCAAAUGCGGGCUGGGGAAGGCCAAUGGACAACGUUCGGGGCGCUCUGCCCACAUCCCUCUUUGUGGAUGUCAGGCCGCUCAGCUGGGCAUGAAGGGGAGGGAGGAGGAUUGGGAGAUCUUGGGACACUGGGAUAGUUUCUACGGUCACGAGGGUGUCCUCUCAGAGGUAGAGGAGACCAGCAGAGCCUGUCGGUCACAGGCAGAGGAACGAGGGCGGCGGGGACCACAGCUGAUGAGGCUCCGCAGAGAGUGAUCCCCCCCCCCCGAGUUGGAAAGCUAAGUGGACUGUCUCGCUAACUGGGUGGCAGAGAGGUAUGGGUGUCCCCGGGGCUUUUACGCUUCGAAAUGCUAGGGGACAAAGAUCGCAGCAGUGCCUGGCACCGGCAGCCCCUGGGGAGGUGCGAGCAUGGUAGCCCACUAACCAUUCGGGGACCUGAGCGCUCACCUGGCCAUCCAUCGCAGCUCAGCGGCAGAGAAUGCUGUCACCCUGCUUGUUCACGGCGCCGGCCUGGAACAGCAACCCAACACCAAGGGGAAAAACGGUUAGAGUGCGCAUAUCACAGUGUCGCCACCACCCAGGAGACGUCCUGGAAAACUAGGCAGGCGAGCAGAGUCCCCACCCGAGCCCGAAGCUGGGGAAGCCUCCUGUGAUGCAAGGGACACUCCGGAGACGCAGGGCUCCAAGUCCCAACCGCCCUCGGCUCAGGGACCAGUGGAUCACCAAGCCCAGCAGGCGGCUCUCGGUGGAGACGGGAGAAGCGGCUGUCAUUCCCUGAGAGGAGCAAGACCACCCGUAUCUCGCCGCCCCGCCACCUUUCCCGCGAUGCCCAGGGUGCCCCGCCAAGGCUUCUCACCGGGGUUUCUUUUUAAAAGUCUACAUCUUUGUAAGACUUGCCAUGUUGAAGACAAAUGUCAAAGAGACUUGAUAUGAAAUCUGAAUGUUGCGGUGUGUAUAUCACCAAUGGAUCCCAAAUAUCCCUCACCUGUGAGAGUUUACUGUCCGUGGCCAAGCGACUUUCACAAGAUGAACAUUCAGGAACAGUGCUUCACAGCCGAAAUACACGAGCUCUUCCAGAUUUUAGUCUACACUCUUCAAACAGUAGCAGCCCAGGAGUCUAACAUGUUCCCUUUUCCAUCUGAAAAGAAACUGAGUCUUCUUACUUACAACUACUGAUGUCAUAUAUUCUUGAUCUCUGUGUAUUUUUCUGUCUUGUCUCUAACAAUUAUUUCUUAUAAGCAUGAUUGGCCUCCAGGUUAAUUUCAGGGGGGGGGAAGCUUGUAGUGGGGUUGAGUGAUAUUUUCUGCAUUAACACUAAAGAUUAAAUGUGUGUGUGUGUCUAUGUUUGAGAACAUGUGUGUGCAUGUGUGUGCAUACAUGUGUAUGUGUGUGUUUGCACAUGAAGGCCAGAAGACUACCUCCCUUGUAAUUUUCAAACCACAAUUCACUUCUUUGGAGACAGGCUCUCUCAUUGCCUUGAAGUCUCCCAAUUAGGAUAAGCUGGCUGGCCAGCAAGCCCCAAGGGUCCCAGUCUCUUCCUCCCCAGUACUGGAAUUCCAAGCACACACCAACAUGCCUGGCAUUUCUACGUGGGUUUGAAUUUAGCUCAUCAUGCUUGUAAGAUGGACAUGUUAUCAAGUCAUCUAGCUCCAAGCCCAGAAUAUUAGUUGUUUAUUUGCUUUAAAUGCUAAGACAAACCCCAUGGAAUUGGAGAUCCCUACCAAAAAUUUGCUUCCUAAACAAAUUAAGUAAACAAUACUUUGCAGUUUUUAUCAUUAGUCCAAGAAAGCAUUCUUUUUCUCCCUCUUGACUUUUCCCUUGUUAAUUCAAUGAUUAGGUAUGGAGCACUGUUUAAAAGUAGGGUUUGUGUUCUGGCUUCUGAGCUUGUGAGAAUGCCUCAAUUCUUGAACGAAGUUUUGGGUUCAGGUGUCCUGAGCCCUUUCAGAACCCUUAAGACUUUGAAGGAGAUGUUUUCC